UACGUAGGGACCGAGCGUUGUCCGGAAUCAUUGGGCGUAAAGAGCGUGUAGGCGGCCAACUAAGUCCUGCGUGAAAUCUCGGGGCUCAGCCCCGAGCGGUCGUGGGAAACUGGUUGGCUAGAGUGCGGGAGAGGAGAGUGGAAUUCCUGGUGUAGCGGUGAAAUGCGCAGAUAUCAGGAAGAACACCCGUGGCGAAGGCGGCUCUCUGGAACGCAACUGACGCUGAGACGCGAAAGCGUGGGGAGCAAACAGG
rnacentral:rRNA from 1 species